rnacentral:tRNA from 4 species
AGGGGUGUAGCCAAGCGGUACGGCAGCAGGUUUUGAUCCUGCCAUGCGUUGGUUCGAAUCCAGCCACCCCUGCCA